rnacentral:ribozyme from 1 species
UUUGUGCUGGCGAGCUCGGUGCGGGUUCUGGGCGGGGCCGAUCGCGCCUCGAUGAAGCGGCAGCGGCGGGCCACGCGGGC